CCGACGUCCGGUUUUAGUGGCAGGUGCUGUCUGCUGCCAGCCAUUUUUUGUUUGCAAAUGUAACUUACCUGGUGACGUAUAGCUGCCCGCCAUCUUCCAGAGGCAUUCGUCUUUCUCUCCUACAAUCAGCUUAUGAUUUGCAAGAUUGUAACAGGUGCUCCAUGCUGGACUGAUUUUAUGGUAGCCCACUUAGCUUGAAGAAACUACAUCCAGAAAUAUUAAAAUGGCUGAAGAAGUGCCAGAACCUAGACAAG